GGUCAGUUAGCUUAGCUGGUUAGAGCUUGCUGUUAAUAACGCCAAGGUCGUGGGUUCAAGCCCCACACUGAACA